AAUAAUUUUACUGCUAUUACUAGUUGGAGGAGUAACACUGUAUAAAUCAGGCUUCUGUCACAAGGAGAAGAGCUCCAUCCCAUCUGGACGAGGUGUGUUUACUUCUACAGCACCUGCACUGUACUCCUCUGCAGACUUGGUCCUCGAUCCUCUUUCAGUCUGCCCUGCAAAUUUGGGCCUUGAAGCGGCUAUGGAUUCCCCCGUGAGUUUGGAUUCUGAUCCUCCCAUGGACUCCGCUGCAAGUUUGGGCACUGAACCUCUUGUGGCCUCCCCUGUGGACUUGGUCCUCGAACCUCCACUGGAUUCUCCUGUGGCAAUGGGACAUGCUCUGGUUCCCCCUCAGGAUGGGAGAGGAUCUCCACCAGGUUAGGGGAGUGCUCCAGAUUCCCCAGCUUCUGAACACCCAUAAGUGGAAAGGAAGGGGGUUCGGCUCAUUUCUGGCCCCACUUGACCCCCCCUCUCUCCUUGCCUUCAACCUACAAGCGCACGUACUGCUGAAGCAGACAGCUCGGCAUUAUAUACAAGUACCAGCAAUGAAACCAUGGUAACCUCAUCCUGGUUACCUGUCUGUACCUUAAUAUCAGGAUGGCCAGAUUAUAGGUUUGCAAGUCCUGUUACCUUUCAAAACAAAGAUAUUUUUUAACUCGACUACUUUAUCUUGACACUUCUAAGCCCUUUUAAAAGGGUGAUGUUAGGUGACCCUGUUGAACACUAUCAGUGUUUACAUCUUUAUUCAGCAGACAUGUUUUUGGAAGUGAUGUGCAGUUCAAAGUAAACAGCACAUUUCAGUUAGUCCAGUACCAGUGUUUUUACUGGUGUCCAUCACACAAAUAGCUCCAUGUAGAAUUGAUACUAAACAUCUCAUUGGCCUAUGUUUCCAUGCUACCUAACAUUUCAAUCACUGUCCUCAGUCUGCACUCGCACUUUGUUCUUGCUACCAGUCGGUUAAAGACAUGUAAUAUUAUUGUGCGACACAGACACAAGCUUGAAUAUUUUCUUGUGCCCUCUGUUUUUGUGAAAUUGAAGCAUGACAAAAUGGUACAGUGGCGCAGAGGGUAAUGCUACCACCUCAUAAUGCCUGAGCAAUUCGAGUUCGAUUGUGGCUCGGUCUACACGGAGGUAGUUUCCCACGCGAUUGUGUGGGUGUUUCCCUAGGUGCUCCGGUUUCCUCCCACAGUCCAAAUACCUGCAGUUCAGGUGAUGGAAUGAUGUCUCAUUCUUGCACCCAGUGAAUCUGGGAUGGGCUCCAGAUUGCUGCAACCGUGAUCAGCAUCAUUACUGCCUGCUUGGCCCACAGAAAGGAAGAACAAGAUUUCAGUUGCUUUCUUAGUCUACCUCAUGACACUGCACUUUGACAGCAGUGCUUAUAAUGCAGAGCUUCAUAGGGUUUUUGGUACAUUUGUUGUAGGAAUAUGGUGAGAUGUAAGUACUGGACUGGGGUUCUUGCAGCCAUCCAAGAAACUUUUGACAAAAGGUUUUAUUUGUCUUCAUGUAUUGUCUUGUUGAACCAGCAGGCAAAUUUUUAUUUUGGUGGUGUUAUGGAAUGUAACCCAAUGGCGCAUACUAAUGUACUUUAAUGUUAUAGCCUUUCAGGGACAACUGACAGUGUAGGGGUUAUAGCUAUUGCCUUUAGAUCCAUGGGUGGCAAGUUCAAAUCUCACCUAGUGCUGUGGUACACUUGAGCAACACCCUUCAUUGUAAAAUUACUCAUGUAGACUGUCUGAACACCCUCCUUGGAGUUAUUACGAAGGACUACGUGAUGAUUGCACCCGUGAUAUAUUAUAAUCCUUGGGUGCUGAGCUCUCGCUCUAUGUAUUUGGCUGUAUUUGCAGUUUCUUGGUCCACUCUUUGUAUGUUACUGGUUUACACUUUGUUCAAACAAUAUACUAGUGACAUGGGGGGAAAAGAAAUGGUCCACAGGUUCCAGUUUUGCAGAAUCUAGACAUGUGGGGAAAAGUCUGUUGCUGGUUUUGCUGACUAUGUUUGUUUUGUACUGUCUUUGUAUGUUACUGUGAACCAAUAACCUACUUCUACAAUGUAACUACAUGCGUUUCAGGUCCCUCUGCUGUUGAUAUCACUAGCAAAAAAGUGGAGAACUAAUGUGGACCCCCCCUUGGAGAAUAAGAUGUACUAAAGUGAUGUUCAUUUCUGUAGUAUUUACUGUAUAACUGUGUCCAUGAAUGUUUGUAUCACACUGGAAUCUCUUAUUCUACACAUCUGUAG